rnacentral:rRNA from 1 species
UACGUAGGGGGCAAGCGUUGUCCGGAAUCAUUGGGCGUAAAGCGCGUGUAGGCGGUUCGAUAAGUCUGCUGUGAAAGUCCAGGGCUCAACCCUGGGAUGCCGGUGGAUACUGUCGGACUAGAGUACGGAAGAGGCGAGUGGAAUUCCCGGUGUAGCGGUGAAAUGCGCAGAUAUCGGGAGGAACACCAAUUGCGAAGGCAGCUCGCUGGGACGUCACUGACGCUGAGACGCGAAAGCGUGGGGAGCAAACAAG